rnacentral:rRNA from 1 species
GUAGUCAUAUGCUUGUCUCAAAGAUUAAGCCAUGCAUGUCUAAGUAUAAAUAACUACACAGUGAAACUGCGAAUGGCUCAUUAAAACAGUUAUAGUUUAUUUGAUACAUUAAAUGGAUAACUGUAGAAAAACUAGAGCUAAUACAUGCCAAAACCGCAAGGUUGUAUUUAUUAGAUAUACCAGGUUGGUGAAUCAUAAUAACUUCGCAAAUCGCAGCUAUGCUGCGAUAAAUCAUUCAAGUUUCUGCCCUAUCAUGCUUUCGAUGGUAGUGUAUUGGACUACCAUGGCUCUCACGGGUAACGGGGAAUUAGGGUUCGAUUCCGGAGAAGGAGCCUGAGAAACGGCUACUACAUCUAAGGAAGGCAGCAGGCGCGUAAAUUACCCAAUCCUGACUCAGGGAGGUAGUGACAAGAUAUAACGACGCGCCUAAAAAGCGCGAUUGUAGUGAGGGUUUUCCAAACCGAACCACUAGUACGAUUGGAGGGCAAGUCUGGUGCCAGCAGCC